CAUCAGAGCAAGUCCAUCAGGUGACAUUCUUUUUCACCUCUGUCUCCUUUCACUUUGAAGGUUCCCAUGUUUGAGGAAGCAUUUGGUGUUGCUGUGCAAAGUGUUGCUGCAGUGGAGGUUCAAGGUUACUGUUUAUUGAUAUGGAUCCCAUCAUACUUUGUUCAUUGUUUGUUCAGGAGUUUGCCCUAAGUCUCCGUGUUUGAGGGCCUAUUCUGUGGAUAUAUUUAUUUGCACUUUUAUUGAUG